GAUUAUUCAAGAAUGGUUUGGUGCAAUAAUUAUUGGUGCAGUUAUUGUGCAAAAUUCAUCCAACCCAACUAUUAUGGUGACAAAAUUUUAUGUGGGAAAGUCCUUGAUGAAGUCCUUGUGGCUCAACAGACCCUAGCCACACCAUUAUGACGGGUGUUUGAAGAAAGAUGAUAUUCUACAUUAAUUGACGGCCACACAAGUUUUUAUUUUAUUGGAUACGGUGGAUGAGGUGCAAAAGGACAGAUGGCAUUACCAAGAACCAGAUAUGGUGUCCCUGGACCUCGGCGCGGUGGAGAUUUUCUAUUUAGUUGCAGUUAAUAGAACAGCCAUUAUCUCUCGAUAUAUAUUAGUUUGAACGGGUAAAAGCACACAAAAAAAAUUACCAGUAACAUUUCUAAUCAUCACGGUAGCAACACUCAUACCUUGAUUAGCUCUUGAAUUUAAAUUUAUCAACAAGGCCGGGCUGGGUCAACUCGAAACCGGCCUAUGCUUUUAACCGGUUCGUGAGUCGAUUCAGUUCUGAAUCUGUUUUAAUGGGCCGGUCCGAUAUAAUAUUUUUUUAAGAAAUAACUCGAGACUGACCCAUUACACAGACCGAUCCAAUCCGGGUCAAACCGGUCAAAACCUAAAAAAAAAAAAAAAAGUUUUU